rnacentral:rRNA from 1 species
CGAACCUGGGAUAACCGGCGAACGGGUGCGUAACACGUGAACAACCUCGCCCUCGGUGGUGGGGGAGUAGCCGGGCUAACGCCCGGGUAAUACCGCAUACGUUCCUCUGGGGGAGUCCCUGGGGGAGGAAAGCUCCGGCGCACGGGGAGGGGUUCGCGGCCUAUCAGCUAGUUGGCGGGGUAAUGGCCCACCAAGGCGACGACGGGUAGCUGGUCUGAGAGGAUGGCCAGCCACAUUGGGACUGAGAGACGGCCCAG